rnacentral:lncRNA from 1 species
UGUACACCAUCUCUAUGCCGUGAGUCUUAGCAAAUGAAGUGCUAAUGAAUGAAUGAGAUGCGCCUGUAUCAAACACUGCUCUAGCUCUAGUGCCUUUAAUCACAAUUAUACCUGCCACGACGUCGUCGGGUGCUGCAGGUUGUUGCUCCUCCACCUGAGCGGCAAAGACUCGGCCGCUAGGCGCUCUCGAUCCCUCCGGCUGACGCGGUGAUGACGCGCGCCCAGCCGACAUCGCUGGUGGUAACCCCGCAAGCUGUCUCGGGGUAGACGGUGUUGAAGCCGCCGUCGGCGCAGACGACGUCCACGACGGGCACUCCCGGAUGACAUGUCCCGGUUGGCCACACUUGAAACACUUGCCAUCGCGCUGCGGGCAAGUCGUCACCUUGUGCUCUCCGCCACAUAUAACACAUCGAGGCGGUCUCCAGUUCCUCGACUGCUGUCGGGGAUACCGAGGGGGUUUCUUAGCAUUUGGCCGGCCCCCG